UCUGCGGCCAGAUGGGUGGGGAUUCAACAUCCUCUUUCCGCCCCACCUCCACCCGCUCCACCUUCCCCCGCGCUUCCUAGGCGGGAGCCCCGCCCUCUAGGGCGGGUCCAACGGACAGCCAGGUUCUAGGACAAGGAUUGACACAGGGGGAAUCCAAUCAGGAGGCGGCGACUCGGGGCGCGGAGAGCUCCGGGCCGGGGUUUUGGUGCCUUGCCUGGGCCGGGGCGAGGCCCUGCGGGAGCCGACUGGGAAGGUCUGGAACUCUGACACCCCGCCCCGCGAGCUGUGCUCUCAGUCUCAUGUCAUCCCACCACAAGGACAGAUAUUAAGUACCAUAUAUGGGAAAAAUGCUAUUUUACAUAAUUAUGAUCCCUGUGGGGGCGGGCAUGGACUCAGCCCUGGAUUCCAUUGUGAGCGUCUUGAGUUCGAUUCCUGACCCUGCCUCUUUAGGAUCCGCACGUUGCUGCCUUUCAGCCUCCAAACCUUCGCUCUGGCCGUUCUCUCCACCUGGAAUACCCUUCCGAGCCUCUCUUCACCUCCAUGUCAUUAACUCGCAUACAUCCUUUCAGAUAUUUCCUGAGGGCUUGUGAUUUGCCAGAUCCUGUACCAGGUGCUGGAACUUGGUGAUAGACAAUCCACAGUCUCUGCUCUGAAGACAUCCAUGCAGGUUACAUACACGGGCGGUGCAGCGGAGAGCGCGGCGGCGAAGUUUCAGGCCCCUGCCCAGCCCCACUCGCCGCAGCCAGGUAGCCCCUCCACCCUUCCUGCCCGGAAGUCCUGCGCGCUCCACCCAAGGACAGGUGGGUUAGCCAGGGCACGCCCACUUCCGUCUCAUUAGCCUAUCGAAUACGUUAUGCAAAUUGACACACGACCCCGCGCCUCACGACAACCAAUGGUUGCGGAGGCGCCGCAGGUCGCCCAGGUUCCCGUUCUCAGGAUGCUCUGGGAGCUCUGCCACGUUUCUGCUGUGGCAGGAAGAACUGAAAUUCCAGAAGCCGGAGAAACAAGCCGCCGUCAAGACUGCUGAAGCGAGGCCUACGGCCCUGUAAUCACACAAGCUCAGGCUUCACGGAAGCUGGAGGCCAUGUCGCCUGAUCCCCGGGCUGACCCCUUCCCUCCCUCCGCGUAGUUCCUGCCAAGCUCCAGGUGCCCGGUGCCCACGUAGUCUCGGUGAACGCAGAGAAAUCACUGCAGAUGUAGCCACGCUUCUCUGAGUUAAGGACUCGGCGUCCGCAGGAGAGCCAAGGCCUCGCUGCUGGGGGUCAGAGCCUCUCAGAGAACAAGAGGCAAGUCCAAGUUCUGCCUCCACCACUUGUUAGCUAUGCGACUUUGGGCAAUCCGCGUCACCUUUCCAAGCCUCAUUUUCCUCAUCUGGAAAAUAGGAAUAAUAACACUGCCCUCCCAGCUACGAUAUGAGGACCAAUGGCUAGUCAAAUGGAAAACACGAGGGUCUUUGCAAGCCAUUGUGCUUGGUGGUUAAGAGUAUCACUUCGGUUAGACAGAUUUGAAUUCAAAUCCUGCUUUUCCCAGUUACUUGUGUUCCAACCUUAAGCAAAUCACUUACUUUAUCUUCUGAUUCUCACUUUCUUCAACUGUAAAGAAUUCCAUGGGCUGUUGUUAGGAUUAAAUGAGUUAAGGUUUAUUGAUUGAGACAGGAUCUCUGUCACCCAAGCUGGA
rnacentral:lncRNA from 1 species